GUGGGGAAUAUUGUACAAUGGGCGAAAUCCUGAUCCAGCAAUGCCGCGUGUGUGAAGAAGGCCUUCGGGUUGUAAAGCACUUUAAGUUGGGAAGAAAAAACUCGCUCUAACACAGUGAGUCUUGACGGUACCGACAGAAUAAGCACCGGCUAACUCUGUGCCAGCAGCCGCGGUAAUAUAGAGGGUGCAAGCGUUAAUCGGAUUUACUGGGCGUAAAGCGUGCGUAGGCGGUUUGUUAAGUCGGUUGUGAAAGCCCUGGGCUUAACCUGGGAAUUGCAGUCGAUACUGGCAGGCUAGAGAGCGGUAGAGGGAGGCGGAACUCCAGGUGUAGCGGUGAAAUGCGUAGAUAUCUGGAAGAACACCGAUGGCGAAGGCAACCUCCUGGGCCUGUUCUGACGCUGAGGCACGAAAGCGUGGGUAGCAAACAGGAUUAGAAACCCGGGUAGUCC
rnacentral:rRNA from 1 species